GUAAGGUAUUCAUCCUACGACUUUGGAUGGACUGUACCAUCCUUUUUCUUAUCCUUCGAUUUUGUAUUUUCCUCCCGCAUAAUAUCCUUACCUUUUAUGGCUUUAUUCCUAUAUUUAUCCACUUCAUCUACAGCUUGCAGAUUUUUAAACUUUAAAAUACCUUGAAUCAUGUGGUCUUGAUUGGCAGGGUUUGUUGAAGCACGAUAAGAUUGUUGCAGCACAAUAUCCUGGAUAGUACUUGUUGGAGUAGCCUGGCUAAAGAGGUUUGUUG
rnacentral:lncRNA from 1 species